AAAAUAUUUUUCCCCCUUAGUAUGGAUGACAGAAAGGGAACAUAUAGAGCAAUAGAACUAGUACCGCAAGGGAACGCUGAAAAAGAGAUGAAACAGUCCAGUAAAGCCUGAAAAAGCAGAGCUAAACACUCGUACCUUUUGCAUCAUGAAUUAGCCAGCAUAACCAGGCAAGAAGCACUAUAGCCUGCCGCCCCGAAACUGAGUGAGCUACUCCGGGACAGCCUAUUACAGGGCAAACCCGUCUCUGUGGCAAAAGAGUGGGAAGAUCCCCGAGUUGAAGUGAUAAACUUACCGAACCCAGUGAUAGCUGGUUGUCUGGAAAAUGUAUAUGAGUUCAGCCCCCACAUUCUUCACUUAAAAGUAUAGUAUACAAGUAUAAUAACAAGAACCGGUGGGGAGUUAAUCAAAGGGGGUACAGCCCCUUUGAUAAAGGAAACAACCUUUAAAGGAGGAUAAAGAUUAUAAUACUCAAGAGCUACCACCCCAGUGGGCCUAAAAGCAGCCAUCUGUACAGAAAGCGUCAAAGCUUAAGUACCACCUUGCCCCAUUAUACCAUUAAACCUCAACACAAGCCCCAACCCAAAACCAGACCCCUCCACUAACAGUGGAAGAGACCAUGCUAGUAUGAGUAAUAAGAGACCAAAGAAUCUCUCCCAGCACACGUGUACAUCGGCACGGACAACCCGCCGAUAAUUAACGGACCCAAGCCCAGAGGGCACUGACACCCAAACAAUAGCCUAGAAGAACCCCCACACAAGCCCGUUAACCCCACACUGGUGUGCUAUGAAGGAAAGACAAAAGGAAGGAGAAGGAACUCGGCAAAAAUAUUUUAAAGCCUCGCCUGUUUACCAAAAACAUCGCCUCUUGCAAGAUUUGGAAUAAGAGGUCUAGCCUGCCCAGUGACAAUUGUUCAACGGCCGCGGUAUUUUAACCGUGCUAAGGUAGCGCAAUCACUUGUCUUUUAAAUGAAGACCUGUAUGAAAGGUGUGACGAGGGCUUAACUGUCUCCUCUUUCCAGUCAAUGAAAUUGAUCUCUCCGUGCAGAAGCGGGGAUAUAGGCAUAAGACGAGAAGACCCUGUGGAGCUUAAGACCUUAGCGUAGCCCAUGUAAGAGCCCCCACAAGGAAUAAACUAGUGGACACUACGCCUGUGUCUUCGGUUGGGGCGACCACGGAGCAAAGAAAACCGCCGUGCAGAAAGGGAACACCACUUAGGAACAUGACCACCCCCCCCAAGACUACCCUCCUCAAAAUCAGAGCCCCCGCUCUAACUAACGAAAUUUUCGACUUAAAAUGAUCCGGGACUACCGAUCAACGAACCAAGUUACCCCAGGGAUAACAGCGCCAU
rnacentral:rRNA from 1 species